UGCCAGCAGCCGCGGUAAUACGUAGGGUCCAAACGUUGUCCGGAUUUACUGGGUGUAAAGGGUGCGCAGGCGGACUGGUUAGUCAGGGGUGAAAUCCUACAGCUUAACUGUAGAACUGCCUUUGAUACUGCAAAUCUUGAGUUCGGAAGGGAGAGGCGGAAUUCCAGGUGUAGUGGUGAAAUGCAUAGAUAUCGGAAGGAACAUCAGUGGCGAAGGCGGCUACCUGGCUUGGUUCUGACACUGAGGUACGAAAGCGUGGGGAGCAAACAGGAUUAGAUA
rnacentral:rRNA from 1 species